rnacentral:rRNA from 1 species
UACGUAGGGUGCGAGCGUUGUCCGGAUUUAUUGGGCGUAAAGAGCUCGUAGGCGGUCUGUCGCGUCGGCUGUGAAAACUCGGGGCUCAACCCCGAGCCUGCAGUCGAUACGGGCAGACUAGAGUGCUGUAGGGGAGACUGGAAUUCCUGGUGUAGCGGUGAAAUGCGCAGAUAUCAGGAGGAACACCGGUGGCGAAGGCGGGUCUCUGGGCAUUAACUGACGCUGAGGAGCGAAAGCAUGGGGAGCGAACAGG